rnacentral:rRNA from 1 species
GCAAGUCGAACGCGAACGAGUUCUUCGGAACUUUAGUAGAGUGGCGCACGGGUGAGUAACGCGUAAGUAAUCUACCCUGAUAUCUGGGAUAACAAUUCGAAAGGAUAGCUAAUACCGGAUACGUUGAUUUAUCAAGAAAGAUGGCCUGAAAGGUGGCCUUUAUUUAUAAGCUAUCACGCAUGGGGGGGUCUGCGUACCAUUAGUUUGUUGGUGGGGUAAUGGCCUACCAAGACUACGAUGGUUAACGGGUCUGAGAGGAUGAUCCGUCACACUGGCACUGAAACACGGGCCAGACUCCUACGGGAGGCAGCAGUGAGGAAUAUUGCGCAAUGGGGGCAACCCUGACGCAGCGACGCCGCGUGGGUGAGGAAGGCUUUCGGGUCGUAAAGCUCUGUCAGAAGGGAAGAAAUGCUUAUAGGUUAAUACCUUGUAAGUUUGACGGUACCUUCAAAGGAAGCACCGGCUAACUCCGUGCCAGCAGCCGCGGUAAUACGGAGGGUGCAAGCGUUGUUCGGAAUCACUGGGCGUAAAGCGCGCGUAGGCGGCCUGAUAAGUUGGAUGUGAAAGCCCACGACUCAACCGUGGAAGUGCAUCUGAAACUGCAGAGCUUGAGUAUCGGAGAGGAAAGUGGAAUUCCCGGUGUAGAGGUGAAAUUCGUAGAUAUCGGGAGGAAUACCGGUGGCGAAGGCGACUUUCUGGACAAAUACUGACGCUAAGGCGCGAAAGCGUGGGGAGCGAACAGGAUUAGAUACCCUGGUAGUCCACAGCCGUAAACGAUGAUAACUAGGUAUAGGGGGUAUUUGACCCCUCCUGUGCCGUAGCUAACGCGAUAAGUUCUCCGCCUGGGGAGUACGGCCGCAAGGUUAAAACUCAAAUGAAUUGACGGGGGCCCGCACAAGCGGUGGAGCAUGUGGUUUAAUUCGAUGCAACGCGAAGAACCUUACCUGGUCUUGACAUCCCGAGAAUCUCCUGGAAACAGGAGAGUGCUUUCAUUAGAGAGAACUUGGUGACAGGUGCUGCAUGGCUGUCGUCAGCUCGUGUCGUGAGAUGUUGGGUUAAGUCCCGCAACGAGCGCAACCCUCGCCUUUAGUUGCCAUCAGGUUAAGCUGGGCACUCUAGAGGGACCGCCGGUGUUAAACCGGAGGAAGGUGGGGAUGACGUCAAGUCCUCAUGGCCUUUAUAUCCAGGGCUACACACGUACUACAAUGGCCGGUACAAAGGGCAGCCACUUAGCGAUAAGGAGCUAAUCCCGAAAAGCCGGUCUCAGUCCGGAUCGGAGUCUGCAACUCGACUCCGUGAAGUUGGAAUCGCUAGUAAUCGUGGAUCAGCAUGCCACGGUGAAUACGUUCCCGGGCCUUGUACACACCGCCCGUCACACCACGGGAGUUGGUUGUACCAGAAGACGUUGGGCUAACCUUUUAGGAGGCAGGCG